rnacentral:snoRNA from 1 species
UGGCUGUGAGGAUAACUCUUCAAAUGAAUGGCAGUGAUCAUUUCAUACGCUAUUCUGAGCCAACA